UUGCAAGUGCUGUAUUCUGGCGUAGACAUGCCAGAUGGGGUUAGUGCUCGCCUCAAACACACCACUACAAGUCAAUUAACCAUCGUAAGGACUUUAGUAAUAAACUAUUUAUGAAGGUAAAAAAGUGACUUAGUUCUGCUUUGACAGGAAACUGUGAGGCAUAGGUGUGUAUCUUUACUAUAGCCUAGUUUUUUCUCUUUUCCGUUUACAAUGUGUUUUCUUAUACCAAAUAAGGAGACGAUUAAGGUCCUCCUCUUUCUGAAGAUUAUAAAGUGUGAAACAUGUAUCAGAAGUUUGCUGAUUGGUGAAGACGCCUUUCCUCUGUUUUGUAUGAAGAUUUUUUAUUCUGAACUUUGACAUUAAAAGAUACCAGUAUAAUUGGUAAUUUGUAAACUCCUUUAAACAAGUCUCAAGAGUGAAUUAUUUUUAUAUAAACCUGUUAACUGAAACCUGAUUAUAAAUAUAUAUUGUAUAUAGGAUAUAUAUAUAUAAAUAUACAUUAAUUCCUUACGAGCUCCAAGAGUUGAAUCCAAACUGAGUGUGGCUGGACCUUCCUUAGGCAUUACUGAUCAGCUGGUUUUAUCAUCUACCCCGGACGUUCUGCAGUGGGUGAAGAUCAGCCCAAACUUCUGGUGGUGGACAAGCAGCAGUUCAACACCUGAAAACACUUUAACAGCGGAUCAGAAUCAGUCGACGCUAUCAGAGAGUUCAAACAAACAUGACAUCCCAGUCACAAAACCUGCUCAAAUGUUGGUGUCGGUGGUCCAGGAGGCACAACCCACCGUAAACUCACAUUCAGUUCAUCCACAGAUCCCAUCACAGUACUACCCAAACUACCUUGCUGACCCUGAUGAAAUUGCCAAAGUGGACAAGAUCAACCUCUAUGUAAAAUGUGCUUGAAAGACCAUGGAAGUGGACCUGUUCCCAAUGGAAAGCAACUCUGUUUUACUAAAGGAGGCCUGUGAAAGGGCAGGGAAGAAACCAGAGAAAAUGUCUCUGAUUUUUGAAGGUAAUCAAUCAUUUAUAAAUUGUUCUUGAGGUUGAUCUGAUGUAGACCUUGUCAUUUGUAAUGAUUCAUGAAAUGUAUUCACAUGAAAAUUUGAAGCACCAUCUUAAAAACUUUAGUCUGGAUGUGAACAAGACAGUGCACGAGUAUGGGCUACGAGGAGGAAGCACGGUGCACUUGAUCCAUACCUAAAUCAUGCCUGGAAUAUGCAUCAGGAACAAGUUCUGUUUACAGUAAUACACUACAUUAAAUAUUAUUUAAGCUCAAUCAUUGUACUAUUAUUAUUAAGUGCUUUAAAGCAGUGUCAUUGUAAAGGUUUAUUGUUAAAAGUGUUGCAUUGCUGUGUACAGUUCUCUCAAUAUUGUAAAAUAAAAACUAAACUUGAGUACACUGUUACCUCAGCAAUUUUAUUUUAAUGCCAAAUUCUGAUUUGAUUUUGCCAUGAGACAUAUUGUGAAAAACACUAUAUAAAUAAAACUGACUAAUAAAUGAGUUCAUUCAGACACUGUUUACUUUUACAUGCGAGACUUUAUGGUUGAGAUAAGAUGUAAUUAUACAAGGAUCCUGGGACAUUCACUGGCAGAAAAGUUUGAAAAUGUAAACAGAAUGGACAUUCAAUAUUUUUAGUGUGAUGUGUGAUAGUGGCUUCUUAAUAAACCACAGUUUACACCAUAAUAGUGCUGCUGAAAACAGUUUGAGUGAAUGAAUAAAUUGGUCGAAGUAAAGGUGCAGUAUGAGAUUUCUGAAAAACACUGUUGAAAGUGGAUCGGACUGAGCACCAAAUACACUUGUAGCCAAUCAGCAGUAAGGGGCAUGUCCACUCAUGGGGGGGAGGUGGCUGUGCUGCAUAGUUUGUUCGAGCACCGAUAGGACCCUAUUGUAAUUGCUUGGUCAAUUCUUCUUCUUCUCCGAAAUGAAUUG